UCGCCCAGUUUGGCACUAGCACAUUUUUGCUUUUGUGUCUAUAUACUUUGAGCAAUUAUGUGUAGUGCCAAUAUGGGAGG
rnacentral:pre_miRNA from 1 species